rnacentral:rRNA from 1 species
CCUACGGGGGGCAGCAGUCGAGAAUCAUUCACAAUGGGGGAAACCCUGAUGGUGCGACGCCGCGUGGGGGAAUGAAGGUCUUCGGAUUGUAAACCCCUGUCAUGUGGGAGCAAAUUAAAAAGAUAGUACCACAAGAGGAAGAGACGGCUAACUCUGUGCCAGCAGCCGCGGUAAUACAGAGGUCUCAAGCGUUGUUCGGAAUCACUGGGCGUAAAGCGUGCGUAGGCUGUUUCGUAAGUCGUGUGUGAAAGGCGCGGGCUCAACCCGCGGACGGCACAUGAUACUGGGAGACUAGAGUAAGGGAGGGGGAACCGGAAUUCGCGGUGUAGCAGUGAAAUGCGUAGAUAUCGAGAGGAACACUCGUGGCGAAGGCGGGUUCCUGGACAUUAACUGACGCUGAGGCACGAAGGCCAGGGGAGCGAAAGGGAUUAGAUACCCGGGUAGUC